CCUACGGGCGGCAGCAGUGGGGAAUAUUGGGCAAUGGAGGAAACUCUGACCCAGCAAUGCCGCGUGAAUGAAGAAGGUCUUCGGAUUGUAAAGUUCUUUAGUCAGGGAAGAAGUCAAUGACGGUACCUGAAGAAUAAGCUCCGGCUAACUACGUGCCAGCAGCCGCGGUAAUACGUAGGGAGCAAGCGUUGUUCGGAAUGACUGGGCGUAAAGGGUGCGUAGGCGGUUGUACAAGUUAGAAGUGAAAUACCCAGGGCUCAACCCAUAGCUGCGUUCAAAACUGUUCUUCUUGAGUGAAGUAGAGGCAGGCGGAAUUCCUAGUGUAGCGGUGAAAUGCGUAGAUAUUAGGAGGAACACCAGUGGCGAAGGCGGCCUGCUGGGCUUUUACUGACGCUGAGGCUCGAAAGCGUGGGUAGCAAACAGGAUUAGAUACCCUUGUAGUC
rnacentral:rRNA from 1 species